rnacentral:lncRNA from 1 species
GAAAUGCAUAGGACUGGUGGACUGGUAUUUUAACUACCACAAUGGCUGUUUUUAACUGAGAUGUAAGUGAUUAAAAUUUUCUUUGCACUUUAUUCGCAUUUGCAUUACAUUUCUUGCACUUUCUUCUUUUAACAUCUAUUGUUCAAUAAUACUGAAGUCAAAAGGCAUCAGAAGACACACAUUGAUAUCAUCAACUAUAUGAUGAAGGCUUGAAUUUGGCAUCUAAAGUGUGAGUGGCCAAUUAUACCCAACUUUGAUUUUAAAUCAACACAGUUAAGCACUAUGUUAUGCGUUUCUUCUCAUUCUUCCCAGCAGACCCACCCCUAUUGUGUGUUUUGUAUUUAUAUUUGAAGAUUGAGGAAGUCUUCGGGGUAGAGUUUAUUCUGCAUAAGGAAAGUUUGAGUCCAUCUUUUAUUCACACUGUUUUAAUAUUUAAAGGGACACUAUAGUCACCAGAACAACUACAGCUUAUUGAAUUUGUUCUGGUGAGUAGAAUCAUUACCUUCAGGCUUUUUGCUGUAAACACUGUCUUUUCAGAGAAAAUGCAGUGUUUACAUUACAGCCUAGUGAUAACUUCACUGGCCACUCCUCAGAUGGCUGUUAGAGAUCCUUCCUGGGUCAUGGCUGCCUAAAAUGCAUCCAAACAUUCAGUAUCUCCUCCCUCUGCAUGCAGACACUGAACUUUCAUCAGAGAUUCAUUGAAUCAAUUCAGCUCUAUGAGCAGAUGCUGAUUGGCUGCUCUGCCUCUUUGUCAGUCUCAGCCAAUCCUAUGGGGAAGCAUUGUGAUUGGAUCAGGCUACCACUUCUGAUGAUGUCAGCAGACUGCUUGUUUUUUUGAGGCAAACAGCAUGCAGAGUUACAGCUUCUGGCUUGAAUACAGUAAGAGGGGCCCAGGAGGGCUAGAUAGUGGUUUUAACACUAUAGGGUCAGGAAUACAUGCUUGUGUUCCUGACCCUAUAGUGAUCCUUUAAGGGUUUUGAUUGUCACAUUGUAUAUUUCUACAUUAACCCCUUCCUGACCACGGACGUAUCAAGUAUGUCCGUCAAAACAUGGUUCUUAAGGACCACAGACGUACCUAGCGUACCACGGCAAAUUUGAGCGCUGGAAGCAAUCAUGAUUGCUUCCAGAUGCUCUGAGGGUAUUGCAGAGCAAUGUAUCUAGUAAUGUAUCUGUGGCUCCUAGUCCCCCUGCCAGAAGGAGACGUGCUGCUCCAGCUGAGUAGUGCCUCAUCGCCAGAGACCAGAUAUCCCACCCUUCACUGCAAAUCCUGGCAUCAAUGUGGAUGUCGCAGGAUUUAGCCCUCAGCAGUUUAUGGAGAUGUUUCUGGGCGACACCCACUGGGAGACCAGCUCAGCCGUCCGAAUUGAAUCCUCUCAACAUCCUCUCAAUGUUGGGAGGUAUGCAUGGACUUUCCAUACUCUCUUUUACCUCUCUAAUCUUUUUUUUUCCGGUUACUGAGUUGUUGGUACCAUUUAUUAAUUUUCCAGCCUUAUCCACUCAGUGCUACCCAUGUGCAGAGAGCACUGUUGAAGCACUCUGAGCAUUUGGAUUAAUACCAAAUUUAUUUUGUGCAGAAUGAGCUCAUCCAAUGAUACGCUGAUUGAGCAAAGUUUCCUUGUAUCCACAUAUGCAGGGCAUCAAGAAACAAAAUACUUAGGAUGGAAGAACACAACCUCAAGAACGCAUCUGCCAUAACUAUUCACGAGCAUGCCACAGGUCUAUGGCAGAAGGGCAAGUCAGGUGUGUGCACUGGAGAAAACACACUGUUGAAAAGAGGACAUUAUACUUUAGAUCCCUCAAAAUCUCAGAACUUCUGUGGCACUUGCAAGAGGGUAUAUAAUUAUAAAAAAACACCAUGGAGAUAUUUAUUUUUCUUAUAUAUAUUUGCCCACUGUAGAGUUAUGUUGCCAUAAUUUCCCUGAUGCUCCCUACAUGUAAUUUUGUUUAAUAACGGUUUGAUAACUUGCCUUGGGUCCACUUACUGCCUAACGCUCCUGGAAAGAGCUUCUGUUAGCUCUACUAACCUGAGCCAAGCCAAUUGGCUGAGAGCAUCAGAUAUAUGCUAGGCUGAGCUCACAACAGAACUUGAGGCAGACAAGGCAGCUUCUGAUGGCCAGCAGUUGUCAAACCUUUCUCAAACAGUGUGACUACUUACUCGGUGGGGAGAAGAGCUGCCAUGAAGCUCCUGGUACUGUAAACAAUACAGGAAAGGGGUAUAAUUCUAAAUAUAUAGGAAAACACUCUAACAUUAAUAACAUAUGUUAGUAUGUUUGUAUGCCACAUUUGCGGAUAGGGGCCUCUGGGGGUCCCUUCUGCCCGGUGCAGUUUUUGGGAGCAUACUUAGCGGUUAGACUUGUUUGGGUGGGUUCGUUGUUGGUUCAUCUCGAUGGGUCUUCGUUAACUCGAUAUCAGUUCUCCUCUAGGUUAAGGGCGGUCUUGCUGGCAGGCAGUGGUGACGUCUCUGGCACACUCCUUUCGGAUUGGUGUUGCCACGCUAGCAGGCAUGUUACGUUUUUCAGAGGCUGCGAUUAAGCGAUUGGGUAGGUGGGAGUCGGGUCGGUUUAGGUUGGACAUGCGACUGCACCUGUAGUGAUGUUUUCUUUCUCAUAGGUGCCCUGCGCUUUGUCUGGAUCCUGGGUCACUCUUGUGUUUAUUGGGCAGCGCACAGAGCAGAGGAAAGGUCCCAUGGGAGGAACUUAAGCUUUCCAUUCAAAGAGGCCAGGGUUCGGUGGCGAGGUGUUCGAGGGCUCUCCUGCGGGCAGUUUUACGCAGAAUGUGUGCAAUUACGGAGGUUUGUUUCAGGGUCAGUUACGUUAGUGGUGCACGUUGGGGGCAAUGAUUUGGGUCGGGUUCAGACAGUGGAUCUCAUCUAUCUGAUUAAGCUGGAUUUGGCCUGGUGCAUGGCGCUCUUCUGAGACCUCACGCUUAUUUGGUUCUAAAUGGUUCCGCGCCCAUGUUGGCGUGGCGAAAAUUGAACAUGACGGUGGCCAGGUUUGUUCGAUGUCUCGGUGGCAUAGUGGUCUGUCACGUGGAGCUGGAGGGGGACAACUUGGACUUAAUGCAGAGAGAUGGAGUCCACUUAUCGGGCAUUGGGUUGGAUAUUUUUAACCUGGGUAUACAGUCCGGUGUGGAGGUGGCGCUGACUGCGGGGGGCGCAAUGCCCACAGGAGGGACCGGGCAGGUUCGACAUCACGGUGGCGGUGUUCCUGGCCAGUGUAUUGGAAAUUGAAGGAAAUGAUGAGUCAAAUUGGGGAGUCGCAGCCUGCCGAAGGCUGAUGGCCGUAGGCAGGCUUAUACGCACUCAUGGAUAAGGAAGUGGAAUCUGUCUGUUGGGGGAAGUCCUUCAAUAGCUGCCAGUUGGAUGGAAAGCUGGUCUGUUUAUAAAGUUAAUAAAGCUGUGGCUGUUACCCUUACCCAUAAUUAUUGAGUGGUGUGUUUAUUUGUGGAGGGCAACGGGAGGUGGGUAUUGGGGCAGCAGUCAAGCACUCCAACAUUAAUAACACAUGUUAGUAUGUUUGUAUGCCACAUUUUAUGCCUCAUUGAACACUCAUAUUAAAUAACUUUACUAUGAACUUUGAUAUAUGUGUCAAACUAUCCCUGAUCUUGCUUUAAAGCACUCAUUGAUGAGUCUACGAUCACUAUUCUACAUACAAAACCAAGGGAAGGGUGUUAUAUAAGCAAUGGAAAAUAAUGACAUAACUAUAUUAAUAUUCUUAUUAGUUUAUCAUACAGCUACCAAAAUAUCUUGUACAUUUAGGGACAAAGCAUCAAAUUAUGAAAUUAUUUUUAGUAAGGGAAUAUAACAUGACUGUUAAGGUGUGUCUCUUGCUAUAACAUUAAAGGCUAUUACAAUGUAUUCUGUAAUGAAAAUCACUGCAUAAGUCAAUGUGUUAACCUAGUCACAUUAUUGGUGACGUUUGUUCCACAUAAGACAGAAUAGCUAGGCAAUCUGACAACCACAUAAAACUACCUAUGCAUCAAGACUGCAAAGAUUUCACUUGUAGAAAAUCAUUUAGUUGCAUCAGGAAUUAUGAAUUUUAUUAAGACACCGAGGCUCCUAUUAUGCUGCACUCUUUCUUUAUUUCCCCCAGCAGCAAAGAAAAAUAACAUUAAAUCAGUAUAAAAAGAAACCAGUAAAUAACAUGAGAGGUAUAUCUUCCUAGCAACAGGAACAGCCAAUCAGCAUCCUUUUCAUAGCAUAGUAGGCGGUGUCCAGUAUACUACUUCCUCUUUCUUUGCUGCUCCCUCAGUUAAGUGACACUGGGUUACACAGUUCUUAAGUGUGGGAUCUGUUACUUUAUUCAUAUCAUUACUGUGGUUAAUAUAGUAAUUAUUAUAGUUAUUACAUUUUAAUUAUAUUUUCAUAUUUAUAAAUAUAUUUAGUUACUUCAUUUUAACUUAAUUUGAUGUAUUUACUCCAUUUGAUUUAGUUAUAUGCUAUAUUGUAUAUGCUUUUAUAAUUUCUUUACCCUCUGACAUCCCUGGCCCUAAGAUUACCAUCAAUUGGGGCUCUGGGAUGUCUUUAAGGAUCUUUUUUUUUUGUAAAUAUAAUUUUUAUUAUUUUUCGGUACAUGACAUUAAACUGAGGUAUCAAGCAUAUAUCAAAAACAAGGAGACACGCAGGUCUCAAACAACAAUAGCAGAAGAAAGGUGGUGGUUAUGUACCAUGUGGGCUCGCAGGCCCCAUUGGCUCGCAGGCUUCAAUCGUGUGUCACACUAGUCACCUAAAGUAUUCGAGGUGGUAUGUCGCUCGUCUCGACAAGCUGGUCUCUGGGUACUAACGAUAGUGAGGGUGUGCAGACCAAUCUGUAGGUCUUGUGUCUUGUCUAAGGUUGUGUCUCAAAUGUUCGCCAGCUAUAGGGCGAGUGGGCUUUCCCCAUUCUCGCCCCAUGUCUCGACUAUGGUGCCUAUCAUGUUGUGUGGUACCACUCCAGCCUCAGUCUAGGAGCCUGGUCCUGUCAAGUAGGCCUGCAUAUUGUGUCUUUAGUAUCAGUGCAUGGCAAUCUCUGCUGGAUGCGGUGUUGGUUACCAGCCGCUUCUGUAUGGACUUUCGCCAAUCACAUGUUUGUGAGGUUCCCAUUACAGGGAAGGGUGUCCUGCCAGCAUCAGGGCAUAUCAGGACAUUUUCCUGCAAAGGCGUGUAAGGGCCAGGUUUAACUGAGAGGGAGGAUAAAAAGAAGAGGGAAAAGAGGAGGGGGUUUGGUCUGUUAGGGGUGUGAAGGGAGGGGGCGUCCUACUCUCCGCGUGUGGAGAAAGGAACAGCUAUCGUGCUGUUUUUUCCUUUCAUUCAUCUGUCUGGUCACUGCUCUGACCCCAGCUACCACAAAUCUAAGUUGGGGUUUAGUUGUAGUGGCGGACAGACAGCUCCUGCGUUUUCCUUUGGAAAAGGGCAAAAGCCCAACUGAACUCUGAGUCUGAGCUCAGUGAUAUUGAGGAGCAGUUCCCUGAGUCCCAUAUGGAGGAGUACCUGUACUCACACCUGCUCUGCUUCAGCCUGGCUGCAAGCCCUCAUAUAAGACUAAACACUCAGCCAAAACAAUAGAGAUGGACAGUACCAUUCCUGUCACGGAUAGCGCGACACUGAUAGGAUCUUGGACACUCAAGUUGAAUCCCUAUUUGAACCUAACAACCUAUGUCACCCAGUGGUCUCCUCAGACCCCGUAGCCAAGUUUAUUGCAUCCAGAGUAUGCAAUCCUUUUGAGAAGGCAAAGUGAAAUAAAUUGCGGGCUGAAUGCCCACGCCGAACAGUCCCUGAUGACUUGUAAAACGCUAUCAGUCGAUCCUAAGAUCAUUCUAUUCCUGAGUAAGACAAGAUGGAAACCUACUAAAGGCUUAGAUUUUCAUUGAAAAACUGUCAGGAUAAAAUCCUGGACAUCUUGGGUCCAGCAGCCAAGAUCUUUGAAGCAGUAGAGGAUGAUCUAGAAUUAGAUCACACCAUCUUAAGUAGUUACAAUGCGGUUGUCACAGAAUGCCGUAAAUCUAUCUUGCUCAAGAUUGAGCCCAAACGUGUAACUAUGGCUCUGAAUAAGCCAGAUAACACAGACAAAAGGUUUUCUCUUUGGGGACAACUUUGUAAAAGAAUUGGGCUCCUUUGUCUGGCUGAAUAAACAGAAGUUCUUUUAGACAGAACCAAGGCUCUUAUACUGGCCGAGAUGAUUUCUUUGCAAAAUGCUCUAUACCAACCUUCUUCCCACUACGUGUUUAACCCUGGGUCGUUAGUGGCCCAAGAGUUGCUCCUUCAGGAUGAAGACCUUAUGGUAAGUCUUCACAAUCUCUAUUCUUCCCUACUGAUAGUGGGGGAGCAGUCUCACACAUUUUUCCCAUGUAUGUUCCUUCAUUUUAUCAGAUGCUUAGGUUCUUCACACUGUGAAAGGGUAGUGCAUAGGCUUCCUUUUUCUACUUUUCUCUACCAUGGAGGGUGUAACGGAGCUCCCUGUACCCCUGGCUGGGUACUUCCACCAAGGACCUCUUCCUAGCUGGAACAGGGGACAAACCGCAGCACUUCUGCCCACAGUCACCGUGGCUUGACUGGGGCCCUGGAACCGCUCCUUGCUGGAGCCGAAUGGGGAAUUAGCUCCAGUCCUUACAAGGACUUUCCCCGUCGAAUCCCCUGCAAGCUGGAACAGCAGACACACAAGUAAAUCUUUCCCUCCAAUAACAGGACAACACACAGUUUUGGAGUGUAAGCUGGAAUAGCAUUUUAAUGGAUGCACACUGGCCUUUUAUGCAAGUUUCCCAACAAGGGUGACACCCAGAUGGACCUUGUUGGGCACAGGGACACAAAGUGAACAAAUCAAUAAAAACAGAGUCAUACAAUGAGACACUCCCAUACACAAACAAGAGAAUCCCUGCUCUGUGCUUGGGAGAUAAUUGAAUCAGGAACUGUACUAAUCUAACAUAAUUAUUUCCAAGCACAGAGAAAACAUACAAUUUUAUGAAACCCCAAAAAGUACCUUAAAAACACACAAAAACACACAUCCCCUGAUAGCCCCGAUCUGGGUGAACAACAUAUCCAAAAAUCCCCCAGAUCGGUUCAGGGUUUCAGGAAUUUCCUGGAAGUCAUAGUUUUGACCGACCACAAGCAUUGCCCCACGCCCAAAACAGUUCCAGGAAAAUCAGUGCUAGCAGUCGGUCAAGUUUGGUAGUCGUUUACAGGUUUCCCUGCAGGGCCCAUAGUCUGUGGGCAGGAGGCUGGCAAACAGGCUCCCCCAGGAGCUCGUGGCAAACUCACUUGGAGAGGGGAGUUUGUCACAGAGGGAAUCUUUUUUUUCCCAACAAGACGCAGACCUUGUCUCUGUGGAAAUAAAAGAACUGAUGCGCAAACAAGCCAUCGUAGAGAUUUUGGCCCAUACCCUGGGUUACGUGAGCAACCUUUUCUUGGUUCCCAAAAAAGGUUAAGGUGUACGUCCAGUGAUAAAUUUGAGACAGCUCAAUGGUUAUGAGGCAUAUCAGCACUUCCAAGAUGGAAGGAGGGCAUUGCUUAAGGGAUCUGCUCCAACCAGCAGAUUGUAUAUGCAGGAGUCAUAUCUCACAGUGCCUAUCGCAGUCCAACAUCAAGAUUUCAUCAAGAUCAAGAACUUCCUGCAGUUCACAUGGUAGUGCAGGAAAUGGAGCUCAUUAAAGCUCACCAAGCUCAUGAAACCUAUGGUCACCCUGCUACGGAGUCGGGGAGUACAUCUUAUAAUAUAUUUAGAUGUCAUUUUCAUUCUGGCUCACUCUAUUCAAUUAAUCCAGACAUACCUUGCAUGGACUUUGACUCUGUUAGAGAACCUAGGUUUCCUGAUCAUUUGGGAGAAAUCCAUUAUCAUUCCCACGCAACAAAUCAAAUUUCUGGGUUAUAUUGGAUUAUUGUAGAUUCUACCCUUCAAACUCUACACCUUACGGUGGCAAAAUAUCACAAUAUCACACUAGCAACUUAUCAACUCUCUCUCAAACAACUGUUGAGAAUGUUAGGCCUUCUAGUGGCAUCUAUACAGGCCAUUUUUCCAGGUCUUCUUGGCUAUCGAGCCCUACAACGAUUACAAACUUCAUGUCAAGGGCAGCGCAUCAUACACAGAUAUGGUAACUCUGGACUCAGAAGCCAAGGACGAACUCCAAUGGUGGCUUCUUCACAUGAAAGCUUGGAAUUAAUGCACCAUAUUCUGUACAGCACCAGAUUUGAUAAUCAAAUCCGAAGCAAGUUUGCACGGUUGGGGCGCUCAAUGUGGAAAUCUUUCCACCAAGGGCAAAUGGUCAGACCUGGAAUCGACACUCCACAUCAAUUGUUUGGAACUUCUGGCCGGUUCCUUUACAGUCCGCAGUUUCUCCCCAACUCAAGCCCAAUGCUCUAUCCUUCUGAAGAUGGACAACAUGUCAGCUGUCCGCUACAUCAAUCACCUGGAGGUACAAAAUACAAAAUUCUGACCUACAUGGCUUGCGAUUUCUGGCAAUUUUGCCUGAUGCACGGCAUUUCAGUCAUGGCAGAAUAUAUUCAAGGUCUCUCCAACACUACGGCGGACUGGUAUUCACGCCAAUACAGAGAUUCCUGCGACUGGCACUUGGAUUCCACAGUCUUCCAACAUCUAGAACCUACGGGGGUCUAUUGGAAAUAGAGCUUUUCGCUUCUCGUUUGAAUUUUCACCUUCCCCGUUUUUUCAGUUGGAGACCAGAUCCGACAGCACUGGAUACGAAUGUUUUCUCCCAAGAUUGGUCUUCUUCGAGGAAUUACGCUUAUCCGCCCUUUGCACCGAUUUCCCCAUUGCCUUUCCAUCAACGUCGCUAAUCCGGCACCUGGUGACAGUGGCUCCUCUAUCGCCAUCCCAACCAUAGUUCCCUCCUCUUCAGGAGAUGCCUAUCGACCUUCCACGUCUCCUUCCAUCUAUUGAGUGCCUUCUUCAGGAUUCAGACAGUGUGCCUUAUCCCCUCGUUCUCCAAGGUCUCUUGCAUCUCAUGGUGUGGUUGAUUUUAGGGCACUUUGGUCGGUCGAGGGAGUUUUGCAAUCAACUCUCUGACUUAUCAAGGGUGCACCCGAUGAGACAAGCUUAUAAAUCUGCUUUGAGGAACAGCUGGCAUAGUUGGUGCAUGAAAUUAAAACUGGAUCCCAUAUCGGCUGCUUUUAUUUCUGUCCUCCAUUUUUCUGACUUCUCUGUAUGAUGAAGGUAAAGCCUAUCGCACUGUGAACCUUACCGAUCUUACCGAUCGUUUGUUUCUGCUGGUCGUCAAAGUUUCGAUUGGACGCCUGUCAGUUGACAUCCUGUCAUAUGUCGACUUCUCUGAGGAAUUUGUUAUGCUCAUCCAUACUUACCACGAUACUAUGUCUUGUGGGACGUACUCUAUUGUCUUGAAUUUUUUUAUUGAAAGAGAUUUUCUGACGUACAAGCUCUUGAGGUGGUUGCUCGUUCCUUUACUCCAGAAGGUGUCCCCUUUGACAUUUCUCGGAGGACAAAAACCUCCUCUAAAAUUGUUUUAUACCCAGCUUUUCCUGAUAGAUCUCUCCUUUGCCCUAUUAUAUACUUAUGGGAGUGUGAACUUACGUUAUGGAAUCCUUUAAAACAAGAACUCUUCAUCUCCUUCCAAAAGUCGCGACCUUCGGUGUCUACCCUAGCCCGGUGGGUCAAGUACGUUAUGUCUCUAGCAGGUACUGAGACCUAUGUGUUUUGGUUCGUGGGGCAAUGUCUUCUAAGGCCUACUCGAUUUGCUGUCGCUUGGAGGAUAUUAUGAGAGUGGCUCGUCUUCGGAGUCUACAUUCCAUGAUUUCCACUUUAGACCUAUUCAACACUUCACAGGAGACAUAAUUUCACAGAUUUAAACUAGCAUAAUAGGAGCCUCCAUGUCUUAAUAAAAUUCACUGAUUUUACUAUUAACAUGCCGUAAAGUCAUGAUUUUAUUAAUGACAUGGAAGCGAAUAUUAUCCCUCCCAUCCCUGGAGGUUUGGUCUUCUCUAGGUAAGUUGACUUCACGGUAAGUCUUUUUUAUAUUACUGGGUUUUAUCCUUGUUAAUGACUGUCAAGAGCUUAAGGUUUGACUAAACCGAAUUUUAUGUUAUGUAUAUAUAGCUGAUAUUCCAAUAUUCCAUGUAAUGCGAUUUUAUGCAUACAUCCAGUUUUUACUUGGAUAUUACAAUAUUCUCCUUUCUCCUCCAGCUGUACUUCGAGGUCCAGGUUAAGGCUUGCAUACCCUCUUAUUGGAGCCCACCUUUUUAUUUUAUUUUUUUUUUUAAAUCUUUAUUUUUCGUCCGUGAAAAUGGCAAACAUAUGUGUAAGGCCACAGUAGUCUUUACACAUCAAAACAGUGAAUAUCAUGUAAAUAAAUGUCUAGGAUCGUUUCACAAACAUUUUAUAGAUACAAUUGGUCUCAAUGUUAUAACGAGUGAUGUAAGUCGGGUAAUCGUGAUGAUAGAGGGUACCUAUCUGUCAAUAUCGCCCCUUGUAUUGUAGGGUCGUGAGCUGCGGGAACAGGGUGGGAAUGACUAAAUCUGGGUAUUGUGUCUAAUGUCUCGCCCUUUGUCCCGAGGAUGUGGGUUUAUGAGUCGUAGGGUGUCCCUUCAGUCUAGUGGUGGCUGCGUGUAGUCGCUAAAACAGUUCAUAGCUAUGGCUAGUGUGUCUAGACGAUUAUAGGUCGCUGUAAUAUGGCAGGAUCAGGUCGGACCCGUGUGGUUCCAGGCUAUGGUUAUCAACCUAGUGGAUGUGCCUGAUGCCAGUCCGGUUUAUUAUAUCGCCCACCUUUUUAUUUGAAUUUGUUGUCCUUGUUCGGGAUCACAAGAAAGAGGAAGUAGUAUACUGGACACUGCCUAUUAUGCUAUGAAGAGGAUGCUGAUUGGCUGGUCCUGUUGCUAGGAAGAUAUACCUCUCAUGUUAUUUACUGGUUUCUUUUAUAUCGAUUUAAUGUUAUUUUUCUUUGCUGCUGAUGGAAAGAAAGAGUUUAGCAUAAUAGGAGUCUCCGUGUCAUUAAUAAAAUCAUGACUUUACGUUAAUAGUAAUCUGUGAAUUUUUGUUUGCCCAUUUUUAGGGCUGAAGUACAUAAUAAGAAGAAAGAAAACUUUUGAUGGUAGAGCCUCAAAAGCUAAUCGGUCAGAGUGGACACUAAGUCUUCCCUGCUUUAAUAUUAUCAUUAGGGCUGUGACCUGCUGCCAAUGGUUGAGGGUUGGGGGGACACUAGGCUAUACUAGGCCCUCCUCCUAACCCCAUAGGAUUUCUUAAAUUUUUUUUUACUUUUUAGAAACUUUUUUUUUAAGUGGCAGUGUGAUUGCAAGCAUUGGACAACCACAACCUAAUUAACCCCCCCCCAUUGCCAAGGGUUUGUAACCUUUUGUCCACUGGCUGGAAGCGGUUCAAGUGGGCAAAUGGUUUGGAUAUUAUUUAAACCCAGGUCUGUAUUUAAAGCACCCAGGUCCGGAUUUAAUUAAUUUGGUCCGUUUGGUCAGGCGGAAAUCCGAACGAAAUUCAGACUUAUUUGGGGCCUAAAUCACAAAAUCCAGACAUUGAUAAAUUGCACGAAAAUCUGGAUUUUGCAGUACGGGGCCAUUCGAACUUUAGUGGUUUACCCCGUUGGCGUUUGCAACAUUUGGAGAACCAUUCACAGGGUUAUUCACUGAAGUGAGAAUAGAGAACAUAGCUGAUUUAGAGAAUGUUUCCAACUUCGCUAUUUUGACCUUUGAAAUUCGCUUUAGUGAUUAACCCUGUUUGUUUAUCCUUGGCAAAUCUACUCUGUGAAAUAUUGCAACAAUUCAUAUCGUUAGGAAAUAUGGCUCAGGAUCUCAGAGACUGUAGUAAUGACAUCAAGCUAUAAAAAAUACAAUAAUACAAUUUGAGAGUAAUUUGAGAGUAAUUUGAGCUGUAGUUCUGUAAUGUUUGGUGAUGCAUAUUCUGGCCAUCCUUGCUAUAUGAUAAUUACAUUCCCAAAUUCCAUGUCUCAAUGUUGCUUAAGAUAUGCCUCUCUCCCUCAUAUUUGAGUCAUACGAGGUCCCUGCCAGCCCUUCUCUUGCCUCCCUGAGUACACAGAUGGGCACAGACACAAGCAAACCACAGUGCUAAAGAGGCAUGGGAGGGGCCUGAUUUGUUUUUUGGGUUUCUGGGAGGGAGAGGUGUGCAUCUGGCACAGCUGCUAAAAGGCACUCCACCUAAAAAAAAGCUGCAACAAAAACAACAAGUAGAUACACCCAGGUCGGAGGGGAAGGAAGGGAGGGUGCUUUUAAACUGCGCUGAGAGUCUUCAAAUACACUCUGUUCAAAACUCACUCAGAUAAUUGGUCUUAACCCCUUAGCUAUUUCCCCAUUUGAAAAGUGGCCAUUGUCCUGAGAUGUUCAGAAAGCUCAAUACAAAUUAUAACUAAGGGUUUAUUGGCUCUAAACUCCGCUGUCUGGCAAUAUGCCGAAUAAAUGAACAAUCCUUUAUCCAAAUCGUAAUAUCCCAUGUGUUUCUAUAUAUGUAAUGAAGUAGUCAUUUAUUUGGCUCAUCUAUUCCUGGUUUUAUUAGCUACGUAUCUAUUCAUCUGUAUUACUGGAGUAGCGUUGAUUUAGACCCAGGUGUUACCCUGGAAAUCUCUAAUGGAUACAGCACCGGAAUUUAUUGACAUGUCACAAGUCUGAAACUAAUUUAAUAAAAAGGAAGAAACAAAUUCCACAGGGGUUUAUUCACUAAAAAAACUAUUUUUAAUAAACUGAAACCCAAAUUUGCCUCACUUGGAGAAAAAUGUAUACAAUUCCUUUUAUUUCCAUUUUGGAUUUAAAGUGAAUACAUUUGGUUUUCCAAUCAUAAGUCACUGUUCAGUGAGUAAGCCCCCAUCUGUUUUUUAAUAUGUAAAUUAUUGAAUCUGAUUAAAUAAUCAGUAUUAAGCAAAGCAUAGCAUCGCCUUUGGGAAAAUUAGGUGGGUGAAUAAAGGUCAAUUUAGGUGUAAGAGGGUAGUGACUGAUUGGGUUUACUCACCAGCUAGAAAAUGAGGCUGUAUAGAAUAAAAUGGCAGCUAUCACUUAGGGAAUUUGUUUUUUUAAACAUCAACUUGUGAACUGAGUUUUGAUGUUGAAGAACUACAAUUCCCCUGAUGCUUUGCAUGUCUUUCAAAUUCCAUUAUAAUAACAAAGCAUCAUGGAAGUUGUAGUUUUCACACAGCUGGGGAUCUAACUUUUGGGCAGCCCUGGUCUAAUACAUAUUUUGACUUGUGACUUUAGCUUGACUCUAACAAACUAAUUAAACUGAAUGAGAUUACAAAUUACUCUGUGAGGUUUUUUUCAACAUUAUUUAUGUAAUGCUGGAUUGGCUGGCCAGUGUUUUUGUACAAUUCCCACUAUAUUUUAUAGUCACGUAAAAUUUCACUCAAUUCAAUUAUUUGGACAGAGUUUCUAACGAUUAUAACUGACUUUCUAUUGGUUAUCACGUUUGUCUUGCCAGUAAUAUUGUAUCAAUAUUUAAACUGGUAUUCUUCAAUGAUAAUGGGUUUAUUAUUGCUUUAUGAACGUUUGGAGACAUUCCGAAAUACACUACCUCAGUUAGAGGGACGCUGGAGGCACUGUGACUUCUUCAUCUUAUUGAAGUGAUUAUAGUGUCUGCCAUCCUCCGCAACGCAUUCUCAUUCCGUUUUAAACCGCUUUUAAUGUUUUAUUGCUAAUCGGGAGACCCCAGCAACAAAUCCUCUCUGGGCUGCUUGGGCUAAUGGGAACACAUUUGCCUGGUAGGAUUGGGCAGCCGUUGACUGGCUGAGAGUGUUAGCUGACCACUUUUAUCCUAUCAUAGCCUUCAUUGCUGGUAUGACUUGUUAUUGCUUCAAUGAAAUGUGUAAUAUCUGCGUUAGCCAUACAUCUAGUUGGUGCCAGGGUGUGGAUGACAAGGGACCCUCAUUCACUGUUAAACAAAAUGGGUCAAAAGCACCAAUGGACUUCAUGCACAAUAACCAAGUCAGUGAGAUGAAACAUAAUUGGUUACAGUGUAUAGAGCAUAGGAAGGCAACUUUCAGCACUCCAGAUGUUGUGGACUUCAUCUCCCAUGAUGCUCUUAUAGCUAGAAUGCUGGCACUGACCUAGAGUAUCACUUUAAAUAUACCACCCUCACUGGAAUUGCUAAGCAGGUCCAGACUGGCUAUCAGGCAAACAAGGCUAAAGACAAUUGGGUGGGUAUAUUAAAACCACACUGAACCAAUAAUCAGAAGGAUGGGGCUCAUUCUUAAUAGAUUCACUGACUCCCGCCUCUUAAUGAGGCAUGAUGUCAUACCUCCCACGACUGUGUGCGUCAGUGGACAGCAAUCUUAUAUUUCCCUUCCUCUCCAAAAUGUAUGUACGCUGCCAAUAGAAGGGGAGAUGAGUGUCUUUUUAUUUCCUCCAUGAACUUGCAACUCAUGGGACAGGAGGUGGAUAUCAAGGGAGGUUGAAUCAUGAGAUGGAGUGGGUAGCAAUGCUUUUUAAAUGCCUGGGCAUAUUUUUUUUAUCCCAGGCCGUCCCUUCUCAGAAACACUUUUACGUGCCGGUUCUGAGUCAUCUAUCUUGCUGUUUAAACCAACAUUCAAUUAAAUAAAUUGGGCGCCUACAAUGGAUAAGUGCCCCUUAUCGCAUGACCCUCACUUCCUAAAUAUAAAGCGGCAGCACCAAAUAAUCAAGAACCUGCACAUCAAGGGAAACCAUAAUCCACAACAGAAACAAACAAAAAAUAAGUUAUUAUCAUAAAAUGUACAUAAAGCCUGCCUGCUACUGAAGGGGAGGUAACACAAGAAGAAUGAGACACAGUGAAUGUGCUUUGCAUCCAAACUAGACACUUUUAAAACAGUUACUUUGUAUGUUAUGUUUGUAACUAUGUUUUGUAUGUUUAUAUCAUUCCUUCCUGGAACCAAAUAGUUAAUGCUAUCUCCAGACUCAUCUCCUGUAAGAGUGCCAAGUUAUACAAGUGUUAGAGAUAAGUGUUCCUACCAGGAAAGUGGGGAAAAGUAAUAAAAGUGUAAUUCCUGACAAUUCCUUUGCUGCUCAUGGUGAUUGUCCCAGUUUUUAAACUUUGCACCACUUUCUUGACUCCCUUCUUAUCGUAGAAUGCAAAAACCAUAACUCUCUCAUUAAAUUAGGCAAACAUGAAUGGGCAGCCAAUCAUAAAGUUCUGUUUAGUAAAUUGUUAUAAAUAUACCUUUUUGGGGAAACUGAAGCUUUUUCUUAGUGGAUAUGAUUAAUUAUAGCUAUUGUCCUUAAAACAUAGAGACACAUGGUCACUGUAUGAAGAUCAUGUUGUGGAUGUGCUCACUUAGUGGUAUUUUCUUUCUGUAAACUGCUAUGCUGCAACAUUUUUGGGUUUUUACAUCCAUCCUAUCUCUAUCUUUCAUCUGCCAUUACAAUGCACUCUCCAGCCACAAAGUAAUACGUAAAGAAGGUAGCAGGAACUUUGAAAAGAAUAGCGGCUGGGACACUCAUUGAGUGAGUAAUUUUGCUGAACAACAAUAGUUCAUAAAUAGUCUAUGGAGUUUUCGUUCCAUCGUUGGGCAUAUGUGAAGUUAAUUGGUGAAGUGUUAAGUGUGAGUAGAUCCUGAGCUGAUGUUCUCAGUGUUUUAAAAAACAAAACAAAAGUAACAAUGUAACCAUGUCAGGUCCCCAGGCUUUCUGUCCAUUCGUGCUGCCAUUUAAGUAACUCUCGGCCAUAGCUAGGCACUUUCAGAAAACUUUCAGAUAACACUGCUGUAGUGGUGAUCAUAGUUAAUAUCAUCACAAUGUGAAUGUGCUAAAGACAGUUAAUGAAAUAUAAAAGCUCCAGGGCCUGAUGGUAUUUGCCCAUGAGUUCUUAAAGGAACACUAUAUACAAAUGUGUAUUCCUGACACUUUAGGUCUAACUGUAGUUCCCCUGUCCCCCCCAUACCUUACCUGUUUCCAGUGCCACAGGGAUAUGGUCAUUCCUUUGAAAAAAUAUAUGGAACUGCACUCACUCCCAUCAGUCAGAGCCAGGGUGCUUGCUGUACCAGAACCAAACACCAGAUUCCCAGGAUCAAUUGAAUAAAAUAAAAGGGGUCCAGGCACUCCUUGGUUCAAAACAGGCACUUUAUUGGAACCACAGCAACAUUUCGACCAUAAGGUCUUUGUCAAGCUCAUAGGAAUGCAUUGGGAGGCUAUUGCCCAUGCUCGGCAAAAUGCUGCUGUGCCCAAAUCAGCAUCUCCUCAUAGAGAUGCAAUGACUCAAUGCAUCUCUAUGGGGAAAGUUCAGUGCUUGCAUGCACAGCAUGGGGAUGCUGAAUGUCAGCCGAGGGCCACUUAAAUGGCAGCACGCAGAGGGACAGUGUACCUUUAAGGGAUUUUAUGCAGGAUGAAUAUGUAUGUAAUUUACUACUGAGCAGCACUGCCUAGUCCUGCCUGAAUUCCUAAGUAUGCUGGAAAAAAAAUGACGAGUGAAAAACCUACCACUGUGUAUUUUGGGUAGAAUCACCAAGUGCCAUUGCAAGACUUGGUUUAUCUUUUGGUCCCCACCAAUGUGGCACUGGCGACAGUCCAGGCAACUAGGUGAAAAUAUACCUGAUUCGGAUUAGUCUGCAACUGCUCUAACAAGAAAAAAAGCAAAUUAUUAUUUCUGAGGUUAAAAAAAUGGAAGUGGAGACAGACAGUAUGUGCAACUCUCUGUGUCAGUAACAGACAGAGGCUUCUUAUACUAUUCUAAAAAGCUAUCUGUGGUUGUUAUUCUUAUGUAAAACAGUUGAAAGUUACAUCAUAUUGUUUGCAAGGGGGAAUGGUUAGUAUUUUUAAGUAAAUAUAGAAGCAGAACAUUUGUAAUGUGGAUGGGUGAGUACACAAAACAGGAUGUCAAACCAGCAAACAGAAACAGGUCACAUUUCUUUAACCCCUUAAGGACACAUGACAUGUCUGACAUGUCAUGAUUCCAUUUUAUUCCAGAAUUUUUGUCCUUAGGGGGUUGAAGAUUGUUCAUUCAGUUCAGAUUCAGUGGGGUCUCUGUAUAGUAAACAAUUCUUCUGCAAAGUUCUAAAAUUGGGGAAAUUACCAUAGGAAUGCAUGGUUUCCUGCUGGUUGUGCCACCUUUAGAAUGUUAUCUAACAUUUGUUCUUUAUUUAUACAAGAACCAUAGUAUUUGCAGCUUAAGGAGAGGUGAUUUUGCUGGUCAACCCUUUGAGUGCUAUUUGUAUGUGUGAUGCGUUGGAAUAUCCUAUUCAGUUCCAUAGAAAUAGUUAUGAUUCAAAAUACUGGAGAAAAAUAAGCUGAAACAGAGAAACAGGACCAUUGACUAAAGGGAGAAGUCAAAGUCUCAAAUUUAAGGCCAAAAUAGCCAAACUUAUAGAGUACACGGUGCAUGGUCAACCAUGGGUGACAGUUUUGGACGACACUCUAACUUCCUGGCUCUCGUGUGUCACUAGUAUGCUCUUACUCCGACCUUGCCUUUCUCUCCAUAACUUCCUUCCACCCAUAACUGGUGGGUAAGUUGCUACAGGAUACUAAGACGCAAGGGGAUUGCAGUGAGCAAAUGUAAAAAAACAAAAAACAAAAAACACAGCAAAAACAAAACAAAACACGAAAAACACUCUUUUCUCUUUAUCAUACAUUUUCUAUAUAAAUUUAGUUUUCUAUUUUGCUCAUAAAACAUGACAGCAACAUUACACACCAAGUAUUUCUACCUGGGUGGGUGCUUAAUACCUGUAAUACCCCUGGCUGUCAACAUGCCAGGAAUUCAUCUGUUGUGUAUGUCAUGUCCGGUGUAGAACUGAUGAUCUACAUUCAGAAUUCAAAAGCUCUUUAGGAUCCUUUAGCUGCUCACAGAUGACACAUGUCUUCUUGUCCCUUUAAACCUUACCUCUAACCACAAAAACGUCUAUUGCUGAAUGCCAGGAUGUGUUUGAGAUUCCAGCUUGCUACCAGCAAUUACAUAACCAUUCCACUGGAAUCACAUAGUACUGUGAUUAUAAAUCUUGCUAUAAUUGCUUAAUUGACCAAACAUCAGCGAUGGCAAAUGCCGGCACUUUAACUGGUGUGGACUAUGACUCAUAUAACAGUCAGACAGCCUGAGAAAGCAUCGUGGACCUCUGCCCACAACCGCACCUGGAUCAUAGUAUAGCUACUUAUCAUUUUAAUAAAAAAGAAAUGUUUCUUGUAUGUUUUUUUUUUUGCAUUACUCCACGUACAUUGUAAAUCAGAAAGACAGUAUGUGCUCCCUGCCAAGUGUGUGGGGUAAACUUGUCUAUAUUAGUUAUUGUUUGUGACCAGAAUGCAUUAGUUCAUAAGUUUUCCAUUUCUGAUGUUUUGUAGCAGCUACUCCCAAGAUUUAUAACCAUCUGAGAUCUACUGAGGCAUAUGGGAUACAUCUCUCCUGACACAAUUGGUAAGAAAACUCACAGCUUGUGUCACGAAAAUCAUAUUGUGUGAGACUGAGGAAUGACAUACUUUGAAACUCACAGCAAAGCCAGAGCCUUAGUUAACCUCAGUGCUUUGUAAGUCACACAGAGGUCCAUAGUUCAAUGUAAUCAUUGGCUGUGCUUUUCUUGAACAAAAUUAUGAGUAAUACUUAUGGGCUUUGAGGAGACGCUGACCCAGUACACUGUCUUCUUUUUCUUUAUAGGUUGGUGGAAGAUACAAGGACUCCCACAAAACAUUCCACAAUUCUCCAAAAGAGAAUGAAGCAAUGGCUGGGUGAAGCAAUCAGUCCUCAGUAGAUUUUCCAUUUAAAAUAGAAUAGAUCAUGAAUUAGUUUUUAAGCGAUAAGUAUAAGUCAUCACUGAUAAGAAUGAUUCAGGUCUUCCUCAUCUCUAUCAUUCAUAUUAAAAGUUUUCCGCAGAUUCCACCUAAGUCUACCAACCAGCCAAGCAUCGACGAAUAAAGAAUGAUAUUCACACAAGCAAGACACAAUGAGAAGAUACGGGUGUCUUUGGUUAGUGGUUGGUGGAGAUUUACAUCCAAUAAUUUUGAAUCAAAUAUCUAAAUAAAG